AUUGAACGCUGGCGGCAGGCUUAACACAUGCAAGUCGAGCGAGCGGCGGACGGGUGCGUAAUGUCUGGGAAACUGCCUGAUGGAGGGGGAUAAAUACUGGAAACGGUAGCUAAUACCGCAUACCAUCGGAUGUGCCCAGAUGGGAUUUGCUAUUAGGGGGGGUAAAGGCUCACCUAGGCGACGAUCCCUAGCUGGUCUGAGAGGCUGACCAGCCACACUGUAACUGAGCACCGGUCCAGACUCCUACGGGAGGCAGCAGUGGGGAAUAUUGCACAAUGGGCGAAAGCCUGAUGCAGCCAUGCCGCGUGUAUGAAGAAGGCCUUCGGGUUGUAAAGUACUUUCAGCGAGGAGGCGUUACCCGCAGAAGAAGCACCGGCUAACUCCGUGCCAGCAGCCGCGGUAAUAC
rnacentral:rRNA from 1 species